GGGGCACAUACCUGUAAUCCCAGUGACUUGGGAGGCUGAGACAGGCAGAUUGCAAGUGUGAGUCCAGCCUGGACAAGUUAGCAAAACCCUAUCAUUAAAAAAUUAAAAAGGGAUGGGGAUAUGGCUCCGUGAUAAAGUGCCCCUGGGUUGAAUCAAAAAUACCACAAAAGUAUCCCCAAAAUAAAUGAAUGAAUGAAAGAAAGGAAGAAGAGAAAAAGAAAUCCAGAGUUUGAAAACUACUUCUGUAGGGGUCUGAUAUUGUAAGCUUUUAAAGGAUUCUGGAGAUAGGAAAUUGUUUCAAGAUUGAUAUUCUGACUUAGAAGCAACCUGAAAAUGCAUAUUAACCAUCCCAAAUUAGAAUAAGAGGCUUUAACAUAGAUAUUGGAAUAGAAAAUAAAUAAUACUCUCUAUUUUUGUUCUAGUUAGCAUUUAAACCUGUUUAGUGAUUGACUUUAAGCCUUUGCUUAGGACAAAACACAAUUGAAAUUUAAGUGCUUUAUAUUUAAGCUGCUCCCUGAUGCAUUUACAUGGGGUCAACACUAUGCAAAUCUGGGACAUCUGAGUCUAAAAAUAAUCUUGAAGCAAUAGCUUGUAAACUUUCUUUGAACAUUCAUUGAUUUAGUUUCAAAUNAAGAUAGUAAAAUACAACACAGCAGGGGUAAUUAUGGUUUAUGUUU
rnacentral:lncRNA from 1 species